GGAAUAUUGGGCAAUGGGCGCAAGCCUGACCCAGCAACGCCGCGUGAAGGAAGAAGGCUUUCGGGUUGUAAACUUCUUUUAAGAGGGACGAAGGACGUGACGGUACCUCUUGAAUAAGCCACGGCUAACUACGUGCCAGCAGCCGCGGUAAUACGUAGGUGGCGAGCGUUAUCCGGAUUUACUGGGUGUAAAGGGCGCGUAGGCGGGUCGGCAAGUCAGAUGUGAAAUGCCGGGGCUCAACCCCGGAGCUGCAUUUGAAACUGUCGGUCUUGAGUGAUGGAGAGGCAAGCGGCAUUCCUAGUGUAGCGGUGAAAUGCGUAGAUAUUAGGAGGAACACCAGUGGCGAAGGCGGCUUGCUGGACAUUAACUGACGCUGAGGCGCGAAAGCGUGGGGAGCAAACA
rnacentral:rRNA from 1 species